rnacentral:rRNA from 1 species
CCUACGGGUGGCAGCAGUGGGGGCUAUUGGACAAUGGGGGAAACCCUGAUCCAGCGACGCCGCGUGAGUGAAGAAGUAUUUCGGUAUGUAAAGCUCUGUCAGCAGGGAAGAAAGAAAUGACGGUACCUGACCAAGUCGCCCCGGCUAACUACGUGCCAGCCGCCGCGGUAAUACGUAGGGGGCAAGCGUUAUCCGGAAUUACUGGGUGUAAAGGGCGCGUCGACGGUGAGGCAAGUCUGGAGUGAAAGGCCGGGGCCCAACCCGCGGACUGCUCUGGAUACUGGGUAACUUGAGUGCAGGAGAGGUGAGCAGAAUUCCUGGUGUAGCGGUGAAAUGCGUAGAGAGUAGGAGGAACACCAGUGGUGAAGGCGGCUUACUGGACUGAAACUGACGUUGAGGCUCGAAAGCGUGGGGAGCAAACAGGAUUAGAUACCCGAGUAGUC